rnacentral:rRNA from 1 species
UGGGGAAUAUUGGACAAUGGGCGCAAGCCUGAUCCAGCCAUGCCGCGUGAGUGAUGAAGGCCCUAGGGUUGUAAAGCUCUUUCACCGGAGAAGAUAAUGACGGUAUCCGGAGAAGAAGCCCCGGCUAACUUCGUGCCAGCAGCCGCGGUAAUACGAAGGGGGCUAGCGUUGUUCGGAAUUACUGGGCGUAAAGCGCACGUAGGCGGACAUUUAAGUCAGGGGUGAAAUCCCGGGGCUCAACCCCGGAACUGCCUUUGAUACUGGGUGUCUUGAGUGUGGAAGAGGUAAGUGGAAUUGCGAGUGUAGAGGUGAAAUUCGUAGAUAUUCGCAGGAACACCAGUGGCGAAGGCGGCUUACUGGUCCAUUACUGACGCUGAGGUGCGAAAGCGUGGGGAGCAAACA